AUGAUGUUGGGAGACCCAGCACUUUUUGCUGGAGAGGACACGAACUGCAGGUCCUUUCUACUUUUUCAUAGGUUUGGCUUCUGCGAACAUCCAUUGGCCCUUGGUGCUUUCCAGUCCCCAGCCUGCCCCAUCACCACCCAGCCUCCUAUCCACGUAGCAGCUCAGCUCUGGGUUGGGGGUCACCAGUGCAUCAAAGCACAUAUGCCUAUCAGCAUGGGGAGGGAGGUGGUGUUGGGCAAAUGGGCCCACAGGACGCCUGGUCAGGAUCACUGCAGGUGGAAUCCAGGGAGGCUGGGCCUGGGCCAUCCUGGGAUGCUCCCCUUCCUGUGCGCCCUCUGCCACUGUUGCACUGACUCUUCUUCCUUCCUGGGUCCCUUCCUCCCCCAGCACCUUUCUGGCUCCCUCCCCACCUUCUGUGUGUCCCCUUCUCCUAAGUGUACAAGAUCUCUUCCUUGUUUGUUCUCCCUCUCUUCCUUGUCAUUUAAAGAGCACCCGCUGACUCUGUUCCAUUUUAUCCUGUUAGCCACCCUACGGUACAGACAUAGUUCUUUCCAUUUUGCAGAUAAAAAAUGGGAUUGUUGGGAAGUGAGAAAUCCUGAGGAGAUCCAGCCAGAGAGUGGUACAGAGGAGGCAUUUGAACCCCAGAAUCCUGACUGCAAAGUCUGCACCAGUGAGUGCUGUGUCGCACUGCCACUAGCCCCCUGCAGAGAAUGGGCUAGCAGGGCAAGACAGCAUGAGGGACUGUGUCCUGGGAACUAUGUGUGGAUGCUUUCCAGGGUUUUAUCCACACUAGACUUGGUGUUGUGCACCCCUUCUCUCUUCUGUCUCUGCCAGCCCCUACCCUGCCCGGCAGCCUUCAUCAUCACCUGUAUCCAUUCAGUUCCUUUGUUUUCCUUCAUUGUCCCCUGGGUUAGCUGUUUCCUCUCCACAUUUAGGGAGGUGUUAUUACUUUGCAAACAAAACAUGUCCUGCUCGCCUUGGAAGAUGGGCUGUGCAGGGAUUUCCUGCAGACCGCUGUGCACUUCGUGGCUCAGGAUUCUGGUAAACUGCAGGCACAGAGGGUGGCACUUCCUGCUGCAGAGAACCUUGUCCUCUCCCUGA
rnacentral:lncRNA from 1 species